AACCUUAUGGACCUGCGGGCGUAUACCUGCGGAGGGAUCAUUACAGAGAUUGAUGCACCAAGUGCAUCACCUCCAACCCCUUGCGAAAACAACUAUCAUGUGUUGCUUUGGCAGUGUUUCCACUGCCAGAGGUUUACAUAAAAUCAGCUGUUUGGAUGUUGUCUGAGUAAACUAUAUGAAUUAUUUAAAACUUUUAACAAUGGAUCU
rnacentral:misc_RNA from 1 species